GACGAACGCUGGCGGCGUGCCUAAUACAUGCAAGUCGAACGCAGUGGGGACGGGUGAGUAACACGUGGGUAACCUCCCAUCAGAGGGGAUAACACUUGGAAACAGGUGCUAAACCUAUACUGAGGUAUGGACCCGCCGUGCAUUAGCUAGUUGGUGAGGUAACGGCUCACCAAGGCCACGAAGCAUAGCCGACCUGCGAGGGUGAUCGGCCAAACUGGGGAUGAGACACGGCCAAGACUCCUACGGGAGGCAGCAUGAGGGAAUCUUCGGCAAUGGACGAAAUUCUGACCGAGCAACGCCGCGUGAGUGAUGAAGGGCUUCGGAUCGUAAAACUCUGUUAUUAGGGAAGCGGUACCUAAUCAGAAAGACACGGCUAACUACGUGCCAGCAGCCGCGGUAAUAC
rnacentral:rRNA from 1 species